rnacentral:rRNA from 1 species
UGGCCAGACUCCUACGGGAGGCAGCAGUGAGGAAUAUUGGUCAAUGGGCUUACGCCUGAACCAGCCAAGUCGCGUGAGGGAAGACUGCCCUAUGGGUUGUAAACCUCUUUUGUCAGGGAGCAACGCCGGCUACGUGUAGCCGGACUGAGAGUACCUGAAGAAAAAGCAUCGGCUAACUCCGUGCCAGCAGCCGCGGUAAUACGGAGGAUGCGAGCGUUAUCCGGAUUUAUUGGGUUUAAAGGGUGCGUAGGCGGAUUUGUAAGUCAGCGGUAAAAAUGCGGUGCUCAACGCCGUAUCGCCGUUGAAACUGCAGGUCUUGAGUGAGCGAGAAGUAUGCGGAAUGCGUGGUGUAGCGGUGAAAUGCAUAGAUAUCACGCAGAACUCCGAUUGCGAAGGCAGCAUACCGGCGCUCAACUGACGCUGAGGCACGAAAGCGUGGGGAUCGAACAGGAUUAGAUACCCGAGUA